rnacentral:tRNA from 1 species
GGUCAGUUAGAUAAAUUGGUUAGAGCAUUGGGCUAAUAAAGCCUAAUUGAGCAAAUGUCGUGGGUUUGAUUCCCAUAAUGACCU